AUCCCGUCUAGGUGGAGUCAGUAUGAGGAGCAAGCUGUUGCACAUGCAGCAGACCGUGAUCACGGGUCUCCAUUGCACUCGGGUGGCGCUAACCCCAAAUGUGGUUAACUCGAGUAUAUGAUUUUUGGUAGCGGGGGACAGCGUUCGCGCUAUCCCCCU